rnacentral:rRNA from 1 species
UACGUAGGGUGCGAGCGUUGUCCGGAUUUAUUGGGCGUAAAGGGCUCGUAGGCGGCGUGUCGCGUCGGGAGUGAAAGCCCGUUGCUUAACGGCGGGUUGGCUUUCGGUACGGGCAUGCUGGAGUGCGGCAGGGGAGACUGGAAUUCCUGGUGUAGCGGUGGAAUGCGCAGAUAUCAGGAGGAACACCGGUGGCGAAGGCGGGGUCUCUGGGCCGUUACUGACGCUGGAGGAGCGAAAGCGUGGGGAGCGAACAGG